AGUCGAUUUAAAACACUUAUUUAACCCAUAAUAACUCAUAUUUUCACUAAAAAAAGAGAGAUGAACAAGGCCGAGAUGUUGGUAACCACAUGGACAUUUUGGUUAUUAAUAAUGUCUUGUGGAUUAUUGACUUGUCUAACAUCUGCAAUGCCAACCAAAUCUUUGUCUUCCAAACUCUAUGAAUCAAGCUUACUCAUAAAAGUAAAGUCGAUACCGCAGAGAGAAUCGGUCUCACCAAUAGCCUUUGGAACCUUGCCAAAGUCUAAGUCUCCGCGUCCGCCUUCUACUCCAUCCAGGUCACAUAAUCGACGAAUAUCACCUUCAGAAUCUCCUGCUUCGCUGCUAGAUUACAACAAUUUUGUCUCAUCAGAACCAAUUUAUCAAUAUUGAGACAACAAGCUCUGUAAUAGCAUUUUAUUAAAUAGAUGGUCUCCGUGAUUGUCAAAAUCUAUCAUUCUAAGGCGGUUUGGGUUGGUUUUUGUUUUACAUGUGUUAUGUUCAUUAGAAAUUUGAGAAACGAAAUAUUUUAGUUGCAUUUUUUAGUUGAAAUAAAACAGA